UACGUAGGGAGCAAGCGUUGUCCGGAAUCAUUGGGCGUAAAGCGCGCGUAGGCGGCCUCAUAAGUCCGUUGUGAAAGUCAAAGGCUCAACCUUUGAAAGCCGAUGGAUACUGUGAGGCUAGAGUCCGGAAGAGGCGAGUGGAAUUCCUGGUGUAGCGGUGGAAUGCGCAGAUAUCAGGAGGAACACCAAUAGCGAAGGCAGCUCGCUGGGACGUUACUGACGCUGAGACGCGAAAGCGUGGGGAGCAAACAGG
rnacentral:rRNA from 1 species